AUUGAACGCUGGCGGCAUGCCUUACACAUGCAAGUCGAACGGUAACAGGUCUUCGGAUGCUGACGAGUGGCGAACGGGUGAGUAAUACAUCGGAACGUGCCCGAUCGUGGGGGAUAACGCGGCGAAAGCUGUGCUAAUACCGCAUACGAUCUACGGAUGAAAGCGGGGGAUCGCAAGACCUCGCGCGGACGGAGCGGCCGAUGGCAGAUUAGGUAGUUGGUGGGAUAAAAGCUUACCUAGCCGACGAUCUGUAGCUGGUCUGAGAGGACGACCAGCCAGACUGGGACGGAGACACGGCCCAGACGCCUACGGGAGGCAGCAGUGGGGAAUUUUGGACAAUGGGCGCAAGCCUGAUUCAGCCAUGCCGCGUGCAGGAUGAAGGCCUUCGGGUUGUAAACUGCUUUUGUACGGAACGAAAAAGUUCUCUCUAAUACAGGGGGCGAAUGACGGUACCGUAAGAAUAAGCACCGGCUAACUACGUGCCAGCAGCCGCGGUAACAC
rnacentral:rRNA from 1 species